UGGGGAAUAUUGGACAAUGGGCGAAAGCCUGAUCCAGCCAUGCCGCGUGAGUGAAGAAGGCCCUCGGGUUGUAAAGCUCUUUUGUCCGGAAAGAAAAGCACUUGGCUAAUACCCAGGUGUCCUGACGGUACCGGAAGAAUAAGCACCGGCUAACUUCGUGCCAGCAGCCGCGGUAAUACGAAGGGUGCAAGCGUUACUCGGAAUUACUGGGCGUAAAGCGUGCGUAGGUGGUUCGUUAAGUCUGAUGUGAAAGCCCUGGGCUCAACCUGGGAAUUGCAUUGGAUACUGGCGGGCUAGAGUACGGUAGAGGGUGGCGGAAUUCCCGGUGUAGCAGUGAAAUGCGUAGAGAUCGGGAGGAACACCCGUGGCGAAGGCGGCCACCUGGACCAGUACUGACACUGAGGCACGAAAGCGUGGGGAGCAAACAGGAUUAGAUACCCUGGUAGUCCACGCCCUAAACGAUGCGAACUGGAUGUUGGGUUCAACUUGGAACUCAGUAUCGAAGCUAACGCGUUAAGUUCGCCGCCUGGGGAGUACGGUCGCAAGACUG
rnacentral:rRNA from 1 species